AACGCGAAGAACCUUACCUGGGCUCGAAAUGUAGAGGACGUUGUUGGAAACAGCAAUUCUCCGCAAGGAGUCUCUAUAUAGGUGCUGCAUGGCUGUCGUCAGCUCGUGCCGUGAGGUGUUUGGUUAAGUCCAGCAACGAGCGCAACCCUUAUCGUUAUUUGCCAGCGCGUAAUGGCGGGAACUAUAGCGAGACUGCCGGCGUUAAGCCGGAGGAAGGUGAGGAUGACGUCAAGUCCGCAUGGCCUUUAUGUCCAGGGCUACACACGUGCUACAAUGGUCGAUACAGAAGGAAGCCAAGCCGCGAGGCGGAGCCGAUCCUAGAAAAUCGAUCUCAGUUCAGAUUGCAGUCUGCAACUCGACUGCAUGAAGUUGGAAUUGCUAGUAAUGGCGUAUCAGCUACAACGCCGUGAAUACGUUCCCGGGCCUUGUA
rnacentral:rRNA from 1 species